UGAGGAAUAUUGGUCAAUGGACGGAAGUCUGAACCAGCCAUGCCGCGUGAAGGAUGAAGGCGUUCUGCGUUGUAAACUUCUUUUGUCUGGGAAGAAACCACAGAUUUCUAUUUGUGUUGACGGUACCAGAAGAAUAAGCACCGGCUAACUCCGUGCCAGCAGCCGCGGUAAUACGGAGGGUGCGAGCGUUAUCCGGAUUUACUGGGUUUAAAGGGUGCGUAGGCGGGCUAUUAAGUCAGAGGUGAAAUCUCCGGGCUCAACCUGGAAACUGCCUUUGAUACUAUUAGCCUUGAAUUAUGUUGAGGUUGGCGGAAUAUAACAUGUAGCGGUGAAAUGCUUAGAUAUGUUAUGGAACACCGAUUGCGAAGGCAGCUGGCUAAACAUAUAUUGACGCUGAUGCACGAAAGCGUGGGUAGCGAAC
rnacentral:rRNA from 1 species